rnacentral:pre_miRNA from 1 species
CAACUACUCCCUCUGUCCCAAAUUUCUUGUCUUAGAUUUGUCUAGAUAUGGAUGUAUCUAAUACUAAAAUGUGACUUGAUACAUCCGUAUCUAGAAAAAUCUAAGACAAGAAUUUUGGGACGGAGGGGUACUUU